AUUGUACAUCGACUUGUUUUUGAAUAAUUAAACACUUAGAACAGAAAUUGAAAGAAUGUCUCAAAGCAGAGGAAUCGAAACUUUCAAGAAUCAAGAGGACUAUGUAGAUCCUUUCCCUGUCUUCGACAUGCCAAACUGCAAGUGGGGAGUUGAAGCGAAAAUGAUGGUUGCCUGAAUGAGAAAAAUCAUGGUUGAAGGUUCUUCCGUUGCGCCAAUUGGAAGUCAAGGCAAUGCACAUUUUUCAGUUGGUUUGACGAAGAAUAUGCUCCCCACAUCAAGCAUAUGCUAACAAAAUGAAGAAGGAGAAAGAGGCGAAGGACGGGGAGACACUUAAAGGUGAUCUGUUCUACUAAAAAAAAUUGAAUAACAGAUCCACCGUUCUUGACUCAAUUGCUACGAAGACUAAGAUUGAAGAAAUGAGAGGAAAUACUGCUAGAAUUGGAGAAAGAGAAUGAGGAAUUGAAGUAUGAGAAGGGCUUAUUCAAAAAGUCUCUCAUUGCAGUUGUUGUGUUAUGCUUGUGCAUUCUCCUUAUUAUUGGUAUUUAGUUUAGUUUGUUUUAGGUAUGAACUCAAUGUGUUGCAAUGACAGUCAAUUGAUCCUAGUUACAGUUGAUUGAUUUAGUUAAGAACCUUAUAUUGUCUUGUACUUUGAAUGUAUUUUGAAGAACCUUAUGUUUAUUAUGAAUGAGUUUUGUUGUUAAGAA